AUACGGAGGAUCCGAGCGUUAUCCGGAUUUAUUGGGUUUAAAGGGUGCGCAGGCGGCCAUUUAAGUCAGCGGUUAAAUCGUGGGGCUCAACCCCAUUCUGCCGUUGAUACUGGGUGGCUUGAUUGCGGUCGAGGUUGGCGGAAUUCGUUGUGUAGCGGUGAAAUGCAUAGAUAUGACGAAGAACACCGAUUGCGUAGGCAGCUGACCAGACCGCAAAUGACGCUCAUGCACGAAAGUGCGGGGAUCGAACAGGAUUAGAUACCCUGGUAGUCCGCACAGUAAACGAUGAAUACUUGUUUUCGGCGAUAUAAUGUCGGAGGCUAAGCGAAAGCGAUAAGUAUUCCACCUGGGGAGUACGCCGGCAACGGUGAAACUCAAAGGAAUUGACGGGG
rnacentral:rRNA from 1 species